rnacentral:rRNA from 1 species
UACGUAGGGUGCAAGCGUUGUCCGGAAUUAUUGGGCGUAAAGAGCUCGUAGGCGGUUUGUCGCGUCUGCUGUGAAAACCCGAGGCUCAACCUCGGGUCUGCAGUCGAUACGGGCAAACUAGAGUAUUGCAGGGGAGACUGGAAUUCCUGGUGUAGCGGUGAAAUGCGCAGAUAUCAGGAGGAACACCGGUGGCGAAGGCGGGUCUCUGGGCAAUAACUGACGCUGAGGAGCGAAAGCGUGGGGAGCGAACAGG